rnacentral:rRNA from 1 species
GACGUAGGGGGCCAGCGUUGUUCGGAAUUACUGGGUGUAAAGGGUUCGUAGGCGGUGUAGCAAGUCGGGAGUGAAAUCUCUGGGCUUAACCCAGAGGCUGCUUCCGAAACUGCUGUGCUUGAGUGUGGGAGAGGCGCGUGGAAUUGCAGGUGUAGCGGUGAAAUGCGUAGAUAUCUGGAGGAACACCGGUGGCGAAGGCGGCAUCCUGGACCGGUAUUGACGCUGAGGCGCGAAAGCUAGGGGAGCAAACGGG